rnacentral:rRNA from 1 species
CCUACGGGUUGCAGCAGUGGGGAAUAUUGCACAAUGGGCGCAAGCCUGAUGCAGCCAUGCCGCGUGUGUGAAGAAGGCCUUCGGGUUGUAAAGCACUUUCAGCGAGGAGGAAGGCGGUGAGGUUAAUAACCUCAUCGAUUGACGUUACCUGCAGAAGAAGCACCGGCUAACUCCGUGCCAGCAGCCGCGGUAAUACGGAGGGUGCAAGCGUUAAUCAGAAUUACUGGGCGUAAAGCGCACGCAGGCGGUCUGUCAAGUCGGAUGUGAAAUCCCCGGGCUCAACCUGGGAACUGCAUUCGAAACUGGCAGGCUAGAGUCUUGUAGAGGGGGGUAGAAUCCCAGGUGUAGCGGUGAAAUGCGUAGAGAUCUGGAGGAAUACCGGUGGCGAAGGCGGCCCCCUGGACAAAGACUGACGCUCAGGUGCGAAAGCGUGGGGAGCAAACAGGAUUAGAUACCCGGGUAGUC